ensembl:lncRNA
AAAAUUUAAGUCAAAAGGAAGAGCAAAGUCAAGAUGAAUCAAAAAAGAGGAAGCUGAGGAAACUUUAAAAAGAAAGGCAGGAGGUUAACUUCAGUAAAGUCAAGGAGGAAAAGGCAGAUGAAAGAAUUGUUUUAAAACAAAUAAUAUUUCGGUGGAUGGGAAGAGCUCUACAACUUCAGUUCAUCCUAGCAACCAAAUAUAAGGUUGUUUCCACUGAAGACUCAGAACUGAUAAGGGCUCAACAAACCAGUAUGUUUUACUCCUAUCAUUGUUCUCCUAAUCUAUGUUAAUGAAACUAUAUAUUUACUUGGAAACCUGCCUCUCUUCAAGAUUCAUGCCAAUGGUUUUAUUGCCCGGAAUGACUCACCUGGUGCCAGUGUUAUCUCAAAAUGCAUGUUGUGGGUGAGGGGCCUGGUGCCACUCUGAGUUUUGAGACAUCUCCUUUCCAU